GCAUUUUCGUUGUGUAGAAACAAUUGACUUUAAAAAACCAAUGAGUAAAUUAUCAUAGUUCUGUUUUUCUUUAAAUAAUAAUAAUAAUUUUAAAAAAUCCUUCAAACUUUUGAUUUGAUUCUUCUUCUUUUGUGCACUACGGUUAGUUUUGCCUUACCCUUUAAAUUGUUGGAGAAAAUUGCGGGAUUAUGGGUACAUGCUAUACUUCUGACAUUUCAGAUAGAUGACCGCGCGCUCAUCGUUCAUCACGACAACAAUUUGAAUAAUAUGCUGCUUGAAUUUAACUUUGAGCCACAAUUGUGUGAUUUUGGCACCGUAAAGUUGCUUGGCUCUGCUUCAACAAACUGGACUCCUGUGGCAGGAUCGUAUGUAUGCAUAACUCCAGGUACACAUCUUACACAUACACUAUAUGACAUUGCAAUGAGUACCACUACACUAUUGCAACAAUAACGACUGUUCUGCUCAACUAGGAUGAACAUCAAAUAUUACGCUAAUUAUUGGCGUCCUGAGCGCUGAUAUGUACCUAGGGCAAUACACGGUCCUCUCCGUAGGCAGUGUUGCAAAUUUGAUCGUAAGUGUACAAAUACAGUUCAAUCAAUCAUUCUCAUUGACUGGCCCAAUCAACAACUGAGGGUUGUUAUCUCCGAUUAAGGGUGGGCGGCAUGAGCCCCCCAUCCAUGAGGUUGCUGGCCUUUUCAUUGUGUAGAAACAAUUAUUUAAAAAAAUAAUGAGUUAAUUAUUAUAGUUAUAUUUUUCUUUAAAUAAUAGUAAUAAUGUUUAAAAUCCUUCAAAAUUUUGAUUUGAUUAUUCUUCUUCUGUGCACUACGGUUAGUAUUGCCUCACCCUUUAAAUGUUGGAGAAAAUUGCGGGAUUGUGGGUACAUGCCAUAUUUCUGACAUUUUUGAUGGAUGACCUCGCAUCAUUCGUCACUUAUGAAGAUUGGAUUAUUGCAAGAAGACAAAAAGCUUUGGAAAUCAAGUGCCAUGCUCUAUUUUUAUUUUGCAGGUCACAAAAUGCUUUGGAUAGCAUAUGUACUUCUGUCAGUUGCAUUCCGUAUCUUUUAUCUCAUCUAUUUUAUUUCGAUUAGGAGAUGGAAAAAAUAAGGGUAACGGUUCUGCGUUGGAAAUAAUUUCUAGGUAAAAAAGCAUGCCAACUUAACCUGAUAAACACAUGAUAAGUCUCCUUUUGUGAUUCAGGGAAAGGAAAACAGCAUCAUCCCGUGUUCUUACAUUCAGAUUUCUGAGCAGAGAGACAGUAGUUUGUAAGGUCUCGGUCAAACUGCAGAGCUCUGGUAGUGAUGGGAGAGCACUUGUUGUUAGGGCUGGCUACGGUGGCGGCAAGAUAACAUCCAUGGAACCGGAGCUCCCAGAGGAGGAAAAUCCGUUAGUUCUUCUCGCGCCCUUCGUCAGCCAUGAUCAAGAUCAUCAAUGCAAAGCCAUCAAGGUUCUUUGUAGCAUGGUCUUUGACCCUGUUUCUGAGAUCAGUUUCAGGUAUUAACGUUGUUGAAGAUCAUCCUCAACAACUCCCCGCCACGCCCACUAGCUGUAAGACACCGUUCCCCGAGUUCUUACUUACUGCUGUAGUUGAUUGGAUUGGAAGAUAUUUGUGUUUUAUCAAAUUCAUAUGGGAUUCUUUUAUGUUCGAGAAAAAAUGAUGCAAGAGAACGAGGAAGGCCCCAACCAGCCGACGGACGUGGCGGCUGCUGCGGCUGUUGGUGCUCUGGGCGCGCAAGGGUAGCUCGAUCCUCCUCCUGGUCUAGACACUGCAGCACAACCGUGUCAGCCUUGGCGGCUGGCGCAUCACAAAGUUCUACGUGUAGAUGAACUGCAGCGACAAUUCUGGAGCUGCAAUACAACGACAUGAUGAAGAGAAGCAUCUGAUAGAUAUAGCGUUAAGAUUGCUUGUUUAUUUGAUGUGUUUGGUUCACUUUUUAUGAAGAGGAGCAUCGUAUGUAAUGCUUCAGCUGUACAUGGAUGUAUGUUAUCAAUCAGAGCUCAAAUUCACUGGAAAGGGUGCCACACUGCCUGGCACCGCACAAA